rnacentral:tRNA from 2 species
GCCGAAGUGGCGGAAUUUGGUAGACGCGCUAGGUUCAGGGUCUAGUGGGCGUACGCCUGUCCGGGUUCGAGUCCCGGCUUCGGCACCA